AUCCAAAAUAUGCAGAUGCCCCCAGUGCAGAACCAACAGACGUUUCCCAUGAUGUUAGAAGACAAUGCUGUGAAGAGACAACAUGGUAUAUCGUAUACGGUGAUGCUCUGCAGGCAUAAUGGAAGCGCUUAAAAACUGUUGAGAAUUUGCUUGCUAAUGUUUACUUUAUUACAGUGUAAUACAAUUUAAAUUUGGUACAAUAUAUUAAUGUACAUUUACACCAAGCGCUGUAAAGGAAAAGGAAGAGCAUCCUGAAAGACCCCAGCUUUCCUGCCAUCAGGCAAGAGACUCAGGACAAUUCACACAUGCACCACAUGAUUCAGGAACAGUUUCUAACCCAAUGCCAUCAGGCUAUUCAACACAUAGUGUGCACUGUCACUUAAACUAUGCACACUCACUUUUUUAUGCAACUUAGAUAUACCCUUCUGUGAUUUAUUUAUUGUUGCUGCACUUUGUGUUCUAUGUCUUCUAUGUAUCAUGUUCUACGUUCUGUCUACGUGGGAGGGGUUUUCAAGUCACCAGCCAGGAGAGAGACAUCCGCGCCGGAGAGAGAAUACAAGAAACAGCGAGAGGUCACUAUGCCACCCGACAUCCCCAGACCAGGAAAAAGUAUGCAGAUUAACCUGAGGGAGGAAGAUAAACGGCGCUUCCGACCCCAAGAAGAGCACAGCAGGAGGACCCAUCCCUGCAAGCCCUGUUGGAAUGAGCAAGAUACGCCGGAUGAAAAGAGAGGAGACACUUCAGUGGUCUUGAGGUCCACAGGUGGAGCCAACAGACAACUUUUACAACUCAAGCCCAACUGAAAGCGAGAGAGCAACACUUUUUACCCCCCGCUGCUGCACAUCUACCCCAUGGUGUCCCGCUUCCCACACACACACACACACUAAAAGUAUAUUCCCUUUACAUACAAACCGGCAAGGCAUACUAGUCUCAUUCACUUGGCCGACCUUUUUCAAAUCAUCCUGCUCUCCACAGAACAGGCUGCGCUGUAAACAGCUGUGUACACACACAAACACACUCACACACACCUGGACAAACACAUAAACACGUUGGCACACACACACAUACUUGUAAAGCAUCUCAUAAUACCGACGUCUGGUAAUUUUUUUCAUCUUUUAGAUGAAAUAGUUUAAGUAAUGAGGAAUUUGGAGAUUUUCUGCUCUAAUGUUUCACUUGAUAUUAAAUUACCUUAUGAAUUAAAUGUUCACCUAACCUGCAUUUGGUCUGAAUUUUUUUCAGAAAACAAAUUUCACGUGACCACCUAUCAAAUCUGACCCAGGACUGUAUGCAGAGGCAUCAAUACAGGCUAUAUCCAGUGCCAGCAGAGAUUAAGGAGCCCUGUGUAGGACUUUAUCUUGUCUUCAGAUCAUCAAAGGACUCCCGGGUUGAACUGCUAUCUCUCAGAACAUCCUCCAUAUUCUCAAUGUCAUACAUCAUUAGUGGGGAGCAUAAUUCAUUAAUGAAUAUAAAUGAUCUGAAUUGUUGUGAAGUUUUCUUUUUGACAAAACAUGCAAGUUCUCUGGUACAUUUAUACAGGGUGUCCACAAAACAUCUAUACAAAUGAAAAAGUGUAUUACAAGCAGCAUACAAAUUGUAAGUUGGACAGGCACUCAAGCAAAAUGAUACACAGAGGUGUAUGUCUGUUCAGCGUCUCAGGGAGGCGUACAGGGUGGUGCCUUCUGGGCACGUGCAGAGAUAUCUGAAUACUUAAGACCUUUUAAGGUACUACCAUAUGAGUGUUUGAAAGUGAAGGUCAUUGUGAAACGCAGCACAGCACACGAUGACAGUGUACGGAGCAGUGUGUGAGGACGGUGCUUUGUUCAGUGGGACCACAGUGGAGUGAGAGAGAAAGGUCUUUGGACAUCUAGUGGACAUAAGAAGUCAUUGCAAUUAAAAAUGCUUAAAGUUUUGAGUAGAUAUUUUAAAAUAGAUAUUUCAAUCCAUGAAUCUAUGUUUUAGUUCACAGUAAAACUAAAUAAACUAAAUAACAUUGAGUGACUAAAGAUUUAU
rnacentral:lncRNA from 1 species